rnacentral:rRNA from 1 species
GACGAACGCUGGCGGCGUGCUUAACACAUGCAAGUCGAACGGAAAGGCCCUGCUUGCUGGGUUCUCGCGUGGCGAACGGGUGAGUAACACGUGUGUGAUCUGCCCCUUACUUUGGGAUAAGCCUGGUACACUGGGUCUAAUACUGGAUAGGACCAUGCUGUAGGUGGUGUGGUGGAAAGAUUAGUUUCGGUUAGGGAUGAGCUCGCGGCCUAUCAGCUUGUUGGUGGGGUAGUGGCCUACCAAGGCGUCGACGGGUAGCCGGCCUGAGAGGGUGGACGGCAAGGUUGGGACUGAGACACGGGGCAGACGCCUACGGGAGGCAGCAGUGGGGAAUAGUGCAAAAUGGGCGCAAGGCUGGUGCAGCGACGGCGCGUGGGGGAUGAAGGCCUUCGGGUGGUAAACACCGUACAGCCAUGACGAAGCCCUUGUGGUGACGGUAGUGGUAGAAGAAGCACCGGCUAACUACGUG